rnacentral:rRNA from 1 species
GACGGAGGGUGCAAGCGUUGUUCGGAAUUACUGGGCGUAAAGGGUGCGUAGGCGGGUUUUUAAGUCAGGGGUGAAAUCCUGGAGCUCAACUCCAGAACUGCCUUUGAUACUGAAGAUCUUGAGUCCGGGAGAGGUGAGUGGAACUGCGAGUGUAGAGGUGAAAUUCGUAGAUAUUCGCAAGAACACCAGUGGCGAAGGCGGCUCACUGGCCCGGUACUGACGCUGAGGCACGAAAGCGUGGGGAGCAAACAGG